UUCUACCAAUCAUUACCAAUUGUUACUGGUGCACUCAGUACUGUGUACAUAUUUUUUUUUUGUGUUGUGCUGUACAUCAGUGUAUUGUCUAAACUGUCUAAAUUUUUUUCUAGACUUUUUAAAAACACUAUAUUAUUAAUUAAAAAAUAAUUUUCUACAUAGAAAUACACUUAAUAUUAAAAUUAUAAAACAACUUAUAAAAUAAUGUCACGUUAUCGAGAGUGGGAUCUUUCGUGUAAAGUUUAUGUUGGAAAUUUAGGAAGUAGUGCAAGUAAGCAUGAAAUUGAAAAUGCAUUUAGUCAAUAUGGACCAUUAAAAAAUGUAUGGGUUGCUAGAAAUCCACCUGGUUUUGCAUUUGUUGAAUUUGAAGAUCCUCGUGAUGCUGAAGAUGCUGUUAGAGGUUUACAUGGAAAACGAUGUUGUGGAACGAGAGUCAGAGUUGAAAUGUCAUCAGGAAGAAGUCGUCGUGGAGGAGGUGGUGGUGGUGGUGGAGCUGGUGCAACACGUCGACCUGGUCCAAAAUACUCAAGAUUCUACCAGUGUCAGCUACUACUAGCUCAACUUGUCUCCUUGCCAAAACGACCACUACUACUAUUACUAUUACUACCAUUAUUAUUAUCACAUCUACUACAACCACCAUAAACAAUAUCGAAAUUAAAAAUAAAUAGCCUGUCUGCCCACUAACUUCCCAACCAGUUCACCAUCAGUCACCAUGCAAGUCAUCUUUAGAAGAAGACAUCGUUUGUCUCUUGACAGUCCUCUAUUAAGUUACCCUCAAAUAGACAACUUCUUGCGGGUCUACCACAACUUAGGAGACUACUUAGGAGCAUCUUAAAUUUCAUCAAUAAAAAUAAUAACAAUCAGAACGCGUAUGAAUUCUUCGAUUACAAAAAAAAAAAAAAAAACAAAAUAAAUAAAUCAAAUAAUCAAUCAAAUAAAAAACAAAUACAAAAAUCAACGCGUUGCAACCCAAACGUUCUUCUACUGCUACUACUCGUCAACCAUCACAAGUUAAAAUACUUAGCUGAACAAUGCGAAUCGUCCACUUGUCUUCAAUUGAGCCAAAUGCAAUAUGAUCACCUACACAAUCAUCCCACCACCCAACCAAGUACUACCAUCACCACCAACUACCACCACAUGUUCACAAAUUUCUGAUCGCGUUCACGCAGUCCAAGAAGAAGAUCUUUGAGCCGUAGUCGCAGUCGUGAUCGUCGUUCACGUUCCGAAUCACGAGACAGACGGUACUGAUUUUAAAUUUA
rnacentral:misc_RNA from 1 species